CGAGUUUGAUCCUGGCUCAGAUUAAACGCUGGCGGCAUGCCUUACACAUGCAAGUCGAACGGCAGCACGGGGGCAACCCUGGUGGCGAGUGGCGGACGGGUGAGUAAUACAUCGGAACGUGCCCUGGAGUGGGGGAUAACGUAGCGAAAGUUACGCUAAUACCGCAUAUUCUGUGAGCAGGAAAGCAGGGGAUCGCAAGACCUUGCGCUCUGGGAGCGGCCGAUGUCGGAUUAGCUAGUUGGUGGGGUAAAGGCCUACCAAGGCGACGAUCCGUAGCGGGUCUGAGAGGAUGAUCCGCCACACUGGGACUGAGACACGGCCCAGACUCCUACGGGAGGCAGCAGUGGGGAAUUUUGGACAAUGGGCGAAAGCCUGAUCCAGCCAUGCCGCGUGAGUGAAGAAGGCCUUCGGGUUGUAAAGCUCUUUCGGCGGGGAAGAAAUUGCUUGGGAUAAUACCCUGAGUAGAUGACGGUACCCGAAUAAGAAGCACCGGCUAACUAUGUG
rnacentral:rRNA from 1 species